rnacentral:rRNA from 1 species
UACGGAAGGCAGCAGUGGGGAAUAUUGCACAAUGGGCGAAAGCCUGAUGCAGCUAUGCCGCGUGUAUGAAGAAGGCCUUAGGGUUGUAAAGUACUUUCAUCGGGGAGGAAAAAACAAAACUAAUAAUUUUAUUUCUUGACGUUACCCGAAAAAGAAGCACCGGCUAACUCCGUGCCAGCAGCCGCGGUAAUACGGAGGGUGCUAGCGUUAAUCAGAAUUACUGGGCGUAAAGAGCACGUAGGUGGUUUUUUUAAGUCAGAUGUGAAAUCCCUGGGCUUAACCUAGGAACUGCAUUUUGAAACUGAAAUACUAGAGUAUCGUAGAGGGAGGUAGAAUUCUAGGUGUAGCGGUGAAAUGCGUAGAUAUCUGGAGGAAUACCUGUGGCGAAAGCGGCCUCCUAAACGAAUACUGACACUGAGGUGCGAAAGCGUGGGGAGCAAACAGAAUUAGAUACC